rnacentral:lncRNA from 1 species
CGCCCAGGUAUUGUUUGAAUUUUAAAAGAGAUAGAGGAUUUGAGGAUCUACAAGGAUCAAAGCACAAAAAGCCUUGAUAUUGAUCACUUUGCAUCAUUUUUGCUUUGCUUUUUUUUUUUUUUUAACAGUUAAAGAAUAUGUCUAUGCUAGUUAUUUUACAAAGUUUGUUAGUUUAGUCAAAUUGAAUAAGUUGAGGUUGAGUUAUGAAUC